rnacentral:rRNA from 1 species
AGUGAACGCUGGCGAUAGGCCUAACACAUGCAAGUCGAACGGCAGCACAGUGAGAGCUUGCUCUUACGGGUGGCGAGUGGCGGACGGGUGAGGAAUACAUCGGAAUCUACUUUUUCGUGGGGGAUAACGUAGGGAAACUUACGCUAAUACCGCAUACGACCUACGGGUGAAAGCAGGGGAUCUUCGGACCUUGCGCGAUUGAAUGAGCCGAUGUCGGAUUAGCUAGUUGGCGGGGUAAAGGCCCACCAAGGCGACGAUCCGUAGCUGGUCUGAGAGGAUGAUCAGCCACACUGGAACUGAGACACGGUCCAGACUCCUACGGGAGGCAGCAGUGGGGAAUAUUGGACAAUGGGCGCAAGCCUGACCCAGCCAUACCGCGUGGGUGAAGAAGGCCUUCGGGUUGUAAAGCCCUUUUGUUGGGAAAGAAAAGCAGCAGGUUAAUACCCCGCUGUUCUGACGGUACCCAAAGAAUAAGCACCGGCUAACUUCGUG